rnacentral:rRNA from 1 species
GCAAGUCGAGCGCUUACCUUCGGGUAGGAGCGGCGGACGGGUUAGUAACGCGUGGGAAUAUACCCUUCACUACGGAAUAGCCUUGGGAAACUGAGAGUAAUACCGUAUACGCCCUUCGGGGGAAAGAUUUAUCGGAGAUGGAUUGGCCCGCGUUAGAUUAGAUAGUUGGUGGGGUAAUGGCCUACCAAGUCUACGAUCUAUAGCUGGUUUUAGAGGAUGAUC